rnacentral:rRNA from 1 species
GACGAACGCUGGCGGCGUGCCUAACACAUGCAAGUCGUACGGAGUUCACUUGGAAGCUUGCUUCCGAGUGAACUUAGUGGCGGACGGGUGAGUAACGCGUGAGCAACCUGCCUCACAGAGGGGGAUAACACACGGAAACGUGUGCUAAUACCGCAUAAUCCGAUGAAGCGGCAUCGCUUUAUCGGCAAAGGAGCAAUCCGCUGUGAGAUGGGCUCGCGUCCGAUUAGAUAGUUGGUGAGGUAACGGCUCACCAAGUCUACGAUCGGUAGCCGGACUGAGAGGUUGGACGGCCACAUUGGGACUGAGACACGGCCCAAACUCCUACGGGAGGCAGCAGUGAGGGAUAUUGCACAAUGGGCGAAAGCCUGAUGCAGCGACGCCGCGUGAGGGAUGACGGUCUUCGGAUUGUAAACCUCUGUCCUUGGUGAAGAAGAAAGUGACGGUAGCCAAGGAGGAAGCCACGGCUAACUACGUGCCAGCA